AUUGAACGCUGGCGGCAGGCUUAACACAUGCAAGUCGAGCGAGCGGCGGACGGGUGAGUAAUGUCUGGGAAACUGCCUGAUGGAGGGGAUAAACUACUGGAACCGGUAGCUAAUCCCGCAUAGCAUCGGGGGUGCCCCUUGGGUCUUAGCUGGUAGGUGGGGUAAUGGGUCACCUAGGCGACGAUCCCUAGCUGGUCUGAGAGGAUGACAAGCCACACUGGAACUGUGAGACGGUCCAGACGCCUACGGUAGGCAGCAGGGGGGAAGAUGGCACAAUGGGCGAAUGCCUGAUGCAGUCAUGCCGCGUGUGCGAGGAAGGCAUUAGGGUUGUCGAGUACUUUCAGCGAGGAGGCGUUACUCGCAGAAGAAGCACCGGCUAACUCCGUGCCAGCAGCCGCGGUAAUAC
rnacentral:rRNA from 1 species